rnacentral:rRNA from 1 species
AUUGAACGCUGGCGGCAGGCCUAACACAUGCAAGUCGAACGGUAACAGGAAACAGCUUGCUGUUUCGCUGACGAGUGGCGGACGGGUGAGUAAUGUCUGUGAAACUGCCUGAUGGAGGGGGAUAACUACUGGAAACGGUAGCUAAUACCGCAUAACGUCGCAAGACCAAAGAGGGGGACCUUCGGGCCUCUUGCCAUCGGCUGUGCCCAGGUGGGAUUAGCUAGUAGGUGGGGUAACGGCUCACCUAGGCGACGAUCCCUAGCUGGUCUGAGAGGAUGACCAGCCGCACUGGAACUGAGACACGGUCCAGACUCCUACGGGAGGCAGCAGUGGGGAAUAUUGCACAAUGGGCGCAAGCCUGAUGCAGCCAUGCCGCGUGUGUGAAGAAGGCCUUCGGGUUGUAAAGUACUUUAAGCGGGGAUGAAGGGAAUAAAGUUAAUACCUUUGCUCAUUGACGUUACCAGCAGAAGAAGCACCGGCUAACUCCGUG